AUUGAACGCUGGCGGCAGGCCUAACACAUGCAAGUCGAGCGAGCGGCGGACGGGUGAGUAAUGUCUGGGAAACUGCCUGCUGUAGGGGGAGAACUACUGGAAAAGGUAGCUAAUACCGCAUACCAUCAGAUGUGCCCAGAUGGGAUUAGCUAGUGGGUGGGGUAACGGAUCACCUAGGCGACGAUCCCUAGCUGGUCUGAGAGGAUGACCAGCAACACGGGAACUGAGACACGGUCCAGACCCCUAGGGGAGGAAGCGGUGGGAAUUAUUGCAAAAGGGGCGCAAGCCUGAUGAGGCAAUGCCGCGUGUGUGAAGAAGGCCUUCGGGUUGUAAAGCACUUGCAGCGGGGAGGCGUUACCCGCAGAAGAAGCACCGGCUAACUCCGUGCCAGCAGCCGCGGUAAUUC
rnacentral:rRNA from 1 species